ensembl:lincRNA
ACGAGCCAAGAAGCAGCUGGCGGACUUUGGCAGGUGCAGUCAGAGACAGACAGGACUGCAUUCUGGGUUUCCCAGCUGGAGCAAUGCCAGGGAGUGGCUGGCCCUUGUGCAGCCAUGGGAGUGGGUGGCGGAGUUGAGACGGAAGGGAAGUCACUGUAACCGGAAGACCCUGCGCAGCUGAGUCAGCGGGUGAAGGCUGUCCUGGAGCGAACAGCAACCCUGAGACGUGGGAGUUAGGAUCUUCGGGGCAGGACGGUGUUCAGGAUGGGGAGCAGCUGCUGAGGAUGUUGCAUCCUAACCCUAACUUGUGGGCAUGCUGUGGGGACUGCUAGCCCUGAGAACUGUUCGAGCUGGGAAGAAAGUGAUGACAAGGCUCAGCAGAAGAAGAUGUGCUCUACAGAAUGAAGUGGUGUGGUGGAGAAGGGACAGGUGGUCAUAACUGUGAGACUCACACACUGCUUUUCAUCCUCAUCCAUGAGCUAAUCUGCCCUCACCACGAGUCUGUGAGGUAUGCAAGGAUUAUAUUUCUUCUUGUUAUAUCCAUGAGGAACCUGAGAGAUUUCUGGAAAGCCUGGGAUAAGCAACUAAUGUGUCAAAGGACUGCUAAAUCCAGUCUUGACUCUAGCUCCGUCAUAUGCCACUGCCUCAGCCAGAAGAACACACCACCUUCGGAGAUGCUGUGGGCAUGGCCACCAGUCCUCCCUCUUCCCUUUCUUCAUCAUUACUGUCAUCCUCCUCAUCCCACCAUCAUCACCAUUGUCAUCUGCUUCAUCCUAAAGGUACUGCCGGGAAUAGGUAAAUGGCAUCGAACAACAGAACAAAGUGGGCUCCCUCUGGAAUGCGAAUGGGAAACUCAGUACAAUCAGCACAGCAGGUAAUAAAUUCAGGGAAUUGAACCCUUGGGAAACUAGAAGAAAUCGCAUUGACCACAGGCUGGGCAGAGAAGGCUGAGAAGCCCAAAUUGGAGCAACAAAUGCUUUGCCAUCUGAAGAGGGUGACACAGCCAUCUUGAAGAGGGGAGUGCUGUGCUCUCCCUUCGAGCUGCAUAUGAGGGUCUAGUCACAGAAGAAGAGCUGAGCCUGAAAACUCCACACCACCCUUCUAGUGAUGCUUUUUCCUGAUAGAGCCCACUUUAAAAAGAUGAUCGUUUUGGAAACAGUGAUCUUCUCCGUCUAGUUCAUUUGAAGCCUCUGCCCGAGCCGAGAGAUUUUGAUGCCAGAAACAAAUGCCAAAUGGCAGAAGGGAAUGGACCGCAGAGCUGCCUCUCGAGCGGUGUAGAUAUCUGAAGUGAAGCACUGUGGGUGCAGACUGGGACAGAGAAGAGGCCAGAGAUCGGUGACCUGACAAGGGCUUCCGUCUGCGCCCCGGUGGUGACACCUUGAUUUAGGACCUGGAGAAGGCAUCCUUUACACGAAAAACAGUAUCUCUGCUAGCUGCUGAGUGCGAAUGUACUCAGUGGUGAGAUGCUAUAGGCGUUCUUCCCAAAGUCAAGAU